rnacentral:rRNA from 1 species
AUGGAGGAGAACAGUUCUGUCAGUGAACACAUACUUAGAAUGUCUGGGUACCAUAACCACUUGACUCAGCUGGGAGUUAAUCUUCCUGAUGGUAGUGUCAUUGACAGAGUUCUUCAAUCACUGCCACCAAGCUAUAAAGGCUUCGUGAUGAAGUAUAAAAUGCAAGGGAUGGAAAAGACAAUUCUCGAGCUCUUCGCGAUGCUAAAGGCUGCGGAGGUAGAAAUCAAGAAGGAGCAUCAAGUGUUGAUGGUUAACAAGACCACUAGUUUCAAGAAAAAGGGCAAAGGGAAGAAGGGGAACUUCAAGAAGAAUAGCAAGCAAGUUGCUACUCAAGGGAAGAAGCCCAAGUCUGGACCUAAGCCUGAAACUGAGUGCUUCUACUGCAAAGGGACUGGUCACUCGAAGCGGAACUGCCCCAAGUAUUUGGCGGAUAAGAAGGAUGGCAAAGUGAAAGGUAUAUUUGAUUUUUAUUUUAUUGAUGUGUACCUUACUAAUGCUCGUAGUAGCGUCUGUGUAUUUGAUAUGAGUUCUAUUGCUUAUAUUUGCAACUCGAAGUAG